rnacentral:lncRNA from 1 species
AAUGAUGAUGAUGAGGAGGACAAUGACAAAAAAGAUGAAGACAUCCAUUGUCAACUUCUGUAACCACCUGCAUUGAAUCUUUCCAUCACCCUCCACUCGUUGUGGCAUGUUUGAUAAUCACACGUGUACAUGUAACCUGCGAUCUACCAUUUGAUUGAUAAGCAUAUCGAUAAUAAGAUUCAGAAGGAACAAAGAGCUUGCAGUUGCCAUGGUACUGAUUCCAAAUGAGACCUCAAGAACUCAGUCAAGUGAAGGUGAG